AUUGAACGCUGGCGGCAUGCUUUACACAUGCAAGUCGAACGGUAACAGGCCGCAAGGUGCUGACGAGUGGCGAACGGGUGAGUAAUGCAUCGGAACGUGCCCAGUCGUGGGGGAUAACGCAGCGAAAGCUGCGCUAAUACCGCAUACGAUCUGUGGAUGAAAGCGGGGGACCUUCGGGCCUCGCGCGAUUGGAGCGGCCGAUGUCAGAUUAGGUAGUUGGGGGGGUAAAGGCGCACCAAGCCGACGAUCUGUAGCUGGUCUGAGAGGACGACCAGCCACACUGGGACUGAGACACGGCCCAGACUCCUACGGGAGGCAGCAGUGGGGAAUUUUGGACAAUGGGGGCAACCCUGAUCCAGCAAUGCCGCGUGCAGGAAGAAGGCCUUCGGGUUGUAAACUGCUUUUGUACGGAACGAAAAGGCUCUGGUUAAUACCUGGGGCACAUGACGGUACCGUAAGAAUAAGCACCGGCUAACUACGUGCCAGCAGCCGCCGUAAAAC
rnacentral:rRNA from 1 species